UGGAGUUGCUGGGUCCAAGGGCAGGAAGGGUUUUAAGACUGGGGUUCAGUGGUGCCAGAGCCCCCCAGGAAGGGUGGAGGGACCCACUUGCCCAUCCCAGUGCCCCGCCCCAUCUCCUAGUGCAAAGUCAGGUCCACACCCGGCACCCACAUCUACCCGGGGCUGGGUCCUUGGCAUGCAAUUAUGUGGAACAGACUUAGAAAACGCAAAGCAAACUGUCUUCUCCUCCACCUUCCCUCGAGGACCAGCUGCCUACUGUCCCUCCCCGGCCCCCCACGCCUUUCCCCUCCAGGUUCAGGCUCCCUGAAUCAUGACCCCCCAGCAUGGCCAGGCCCGGGAGGGCUGUCCUACAAUUUGAGGGUGGAGCAUUGGCACGGAAGCCAGCAUCUCUCUCUGUGCCUCACUUCCCCCUCACUCUACAUCGAGAAUCCAGCCAGGAUUAUGCCUGUUCCAGCAGAAACAAGAGGUGAUCUUUUUCUUUUCUCCUUUUUUUUUCAGGUCUGGAAAAUUUCUGCAGCUGCUGAGUUGGGACUGUUAAGAAAACACUGGCUUCCCAUUAAAGACACGACUUUGCUUCUUUUAAAGAAAAGGUGCGGUUUUAAGGGUCUCUAACAUCCUCGCCAGCUUGUGAACCACAGUUUGACUCUUCUGCUGCUGCACUUUUAGGCUGUUUUCCAUUUUUCUCUUCAUAAAGGAUGUGGCUGAUGCCUUUCGGCAGAGAACUCUUUCCAUAUUUCACCUUAUUUCCUAAGGAGAGAGUGUCAGAAGAGGGAUGAACUUGGUCACUUGGUCAAAGUUUUUUCUUUUUUAAUCUGAUUUCAUAUUUCUUAAGAAUGAUGCACCUUAUGAAACAACUUUAUAUCUGUUGAGAAACCUGGUUAAGUUCUUUUUUUAAUAUUGUUUUUAAAAAAGACUUGUUCUGAACAAUAUCCUGUGUCUUUCAGAAAACAGCGGCGGAUAUGAAAGGAGAUUUGUUCCCUCCAAGCUCUUAGGAGACGAUCUGGCUCAGGAAACAGACACAUCAGAUCCUUGCGUGUAUCUGAUGGUUGCCAUGGGAACAAGUCAUUUAACACAAUGCUGGGUUAAAGCAUUGAUCAAUAAGGGAGGGGGCAAGAUUGAAACAAAUUAGUUGGUGUCUGAGCAGGCCGGACAGAUAAUGACAGUAACGGGCAGUGCUCUGCCUGGCCUCCUCCCGUGGCCGGGGCCUGGGCCUGGGCCAGCAGAGGCAGGAGUGGGGUCCCUUCAUCUAGGGUUGGGAUGUGUGGGGCAGAGAACAGAGUCAUAUCAGGCUGAGGAAACUGUUCCCCAAACCAGAUACUGGGGCAAGAGAGGCCUGAGAGGAGUCUGGGGACCUGGGCUCUGGGGGUGAGUGGAACACAAGGCGACAUGGGAAGAAGCUGGGAUGGACCCCAGGGCCUGGGCACAGCCAGUCCCGGCUUCUCCACGCUCCUGCACCAUGUUUGCACAGACGGCUGGGACAUCUUGCCACAUCCUUCAUCUCUCAGGUGGGGCAUCUGAUUCCAGAGAGGAGCCGUGACUUCCUCUGGGUACGCAGCAGCUCCUGGUCCCAGCCCCAACUCUCUGUAGGAGUGACAUGGGUCCAACAGAGGAC
rnacentral:lncRNA from 1 species